UACGAGGGGGCUAGCGUUGUUCGGAAUUACUGGGCGUAAAGCGCACGUAGGCGGACUUCUAAGUCAGGGGUGAAAUCCCGGGGCUCAAACCCGGAACUGCCCUUGAUACUGGAAGUCUUGAGUCCGAGAGAGGUGAGUGGAAUUCCGAGUGUAGAGGUGAAAUUCGUAGAUAUUCGGAAGAACACCAGUGGCGAAGGCGGCUCACUGGCUCGGUACUGACGCUGAGGUGCGAAAGCGUGGGGAGCAAACAGG
rnacentral:misc_RNA from 1 species